UUUGAGGGUCAAUCGCUAUACUUUAAAGAUAGUAUAGAGGAAAGUCCACGCUUGCACAAUCUGCGAUGAUUGUAGUGAUUAUGCUAGUUGAAAAAAUAAAACUAGGCAAUAUUUAUAUUGACGGCUUAACUAACCUAAGGGAAACUACGGUGAUGUUAUUAAAGUGCCACAGAGACGAUUAAAGGGAAACCUGGAAAUGGAACGCGGUAAACCCCAUAAGCAAGAAACUCAAAUUUUGGUAGAGGAGUUUAACUAAUAGAAAUGAAUAUUAGUUAGAAGCGAAAGCUAGAUAGAUGGUUGACACUGGGAACAGUACAAAACGUGGCUUAUUAUC
rnacentral:RNase_P_RNA from 1 species